AGCGAACGCUGGCGGCAGGCCUAACACAUGCAAGUCGAACGAACUCUUCGGAGUUAGUGGCGGACGGGUGAGUAACACGUGGGAACGUGCCUUUAGGUUCGGAAUAACUCAGGGAAACUUGUGCUAAUACCGAAUGUGCCCUUCGGGGGAAAGAUUUAUCGCCUUUAGAGCGGCCCGCGUCUGAUUAGCUAGUUGGUGAGGUAAAGGCUCACCAAGGCGACGAUCAGUAGCUGGUCUGAGAGGAUGACCAGCCACAUUGGGACUGAGACACGGCCCAAACUCCUACGGGAGGCAGCAGUGGGGAAUCUUGCGCAAUGGGCGAAAGCCUGACGCAGCCAUGCCGCGUGAAUGAUGAAGGUCUUAGGAUUGUAAAAUUCUUUCACCGGGGACGAUAAUGACGGUACCCGGAGAAGAAGCCCCGGCUAACUUCGUGCCAGCCGCCGCUGUAAAAC
rnacentral:rRNA from 1 species